rnacentral:rRNA from 1 species
GUUAGGAAUAUUCGUCAAUGGGGGAAACCCUGAACGAGCAAUGCCGCGUGAGUGAUGAAGGUCUUAUAGAUCGUAAAACUCUGUUGUAGAGAGAGAACACUUAUUAUAGGAAAUGAUAAUAAGCUGACGGUACUCUACCAGAAAGCCCCGGCUAACUACGUGCCAGCAGCCGCGGUAAUACGUAGGGGGCGAGCGUUAUCCGGAUUUAUUGGGCGUAAAGCGUGUGUAGGCGGUUUAUUAAGUUUAAGAUUAAAGUCCGAGGCUUAACCUCGGUUCGUCUUAAAAACUGGUAGACUUGAGUGUAGUAGAGGCAAGUGGAAUUUCUAGUGUAGCGGUUAAAUGCGUAGAUAUUAGAAGGAACACCAGUGGCGAAGGCGGCUUGCUGGGCUAUUACUGACGCUGAGACACGAAAGCGUGGGGAGCAAAUAGGA